AAGUCGUAACAAGGUUUGAUUCCACGGGACCCUUCUCGGAAGCCUUUGCAUCAACGACUAUAAUCAAUGGUGUAUAGUCUAGAAAGUGUUCUCUCUAGGCGACGUCGCCCCUGUGCUGGGACGUUAUCUCACAAUAGCGGAUCAGCAGCCAGUUUUCUGGUUCACAGAUUAGGUGGUGGCGGUCCCGGUGCGGGAUCAAGAUAUAAUCGGUCGUCAUGGUCAGCAGCUAUGCCGGAGUAAUGUUCCGUAGGUGAACCUGCGGAAGGAUCAUUAUUGAGUUAGGGUCCUCUGGGCCCCAUCUCCAACCCUUGUCUAUCCUACCAUGUUGCUUUGGCGGGCCCGUUCUCAACCGGACCGCUGGGGACUCGCUUCCCUAGCCCGUGCCCGUCAGUAGCCCCUAACAACUCCAAGUCACGGUGAUGUCUAAGUAGAACUAUAAUGAACUAAAACUUUCAACAACGGAUCUCUUGGUUCUG
rnacentral:misc_RNA from 1 species